rnacentral:lncRNA from 1 species
GGGGCGGGCGCCGAGCGGCUCCUCCUCGGACAACGGGAACGGCGAGACCCCUCCGUGCAUUGACACCCUCCUCCCCAUCCUGCCCCCUCCCCGGCCCCGCAGCUCCUCACCUGCCCUCCCGGCGGGGCCCGUCCCGCCGCAUCGGUGAGCGGCUUCCCGGAGCCGCCGUCCCAUGUCGGGUCCGUGUGUCCCCCACACCUCCCGUCCGCCGCCGGGGAUGCCGUGGCGGGGCUUGGGGAGGGGGCAGCGGGGCCGUUCUCGGUAGCGGAGCUCGGGCCGGCGCGGCGGGACUGAGCGGGGCCGGGCCGGGGCGGGCGGCGGCCGGGGGCGGUCGCAGGUUGCACAACCCGCCCGGCGCGGCCAGGAGAUUCCUGAGCGGCGAAGUCAGAGCGGCCUGGCCUGCCCCGGCACCGGGCACCGGGCCCUCGGCAGCCGGCAGCGACCGGUGCCGGCCGGGCAGGGCCCCGCACAGGGUCGCUGGGGACCCCGAAGUCCGCGGAGAUGGGGCUGGACUGGACGGGGCACAGUGACUGUGGAGACCCCGGAUGGGAUGGGGGGACAGGCCCAGAGCUGGCAGGACCGGGACACCCCCCUAACAAGGACCUUCUGCUCCAGGGGCGCUGCAGCUCCAGCAUGGGGGUCCCAUGGGUGUCCUCGGGUCCCCAUGGGGUGCCCCUGAGUAGCCCCCCCUGCCCGUGCUCCCCUUUAGGAGCACCCAUUCACUGGAGUUAUGCACUCAUCAGCUCUGUCCUCACCCAGGGGGGCACAGGCCACCACUGGGUCCCCCAGAGCCAUGGCACAGCAAGGGGAUAUCACAGCCAUUGGGUCCCUGCCAUGCCCUGCUCCAUCUCCUGCCAGUGAUUCCCUUUGCUUCCCGCUUUUCCCAUUGCUGUGGAUGGCAACUGGCCAUGCGCCACACACCUCCAGGAAGGGGAUUUUGGGGCAGCCCCAGCAGUGCUCAGGUAAAGCCACAAACAACUUGUGCUUAACACAGCAAAAGUUGCUGCUGGUCAUGAAAACCAUGUCCUGGGUGGGCUGCGGCAUCCAGGUCCCUUCCAGGGUGAUGGGACACAUCCCAUGGGCAGCACCGUGGCCCCUGGGCCCCACACUCCAGCCCUGGGAAGGCUCCGUCUGCGCUGUUGUUGUUUUGAAGGCCAAGUCUCUCCUGCUGACACCCCUGGAAUUAAGUUUUUCUUCCAGAGCCCUUAAAAAUAUCCCAGAUUUCUGACACUGGGAUUUGGCUUCCAAAGGCGCUUCCAAGCCACCGGGCCUGCGGCCAGCCGUCAGCACCGGGGGAUGAAGGUUGUCCAGCUCCCGUGCUCCUCUUCAGCACAGAGACCGGGGAGGAACUCACCAGUUCCACACUGGGACAGUGCUCAGUGGAGUGCAAACCCCAGCCUGGCUCCCGGCAAACAUCCCUGUGCUUGGGUGGGAUUGAUUUUCCAGGGGGAUACCCAGCAGUCAUGACCCUAUGGAGCCCCACGGCUGAUGGCUGAGCUGCCACGAGUGUCACCCCUGGCUGGGAGUUCUCUGAGCAUCCCUAUGUGAGAGCACGUGGUCCCGAAACCCAGCCUGUGACCUGCUCCCAAGGGGCAUCCAUCUGGGAAUGGUGGGGAUUUGGGGGGGGUGGGUUGGUUGAGGGGUGCAGGGAGAGGUGCUGCUGCCCCCCGAUGAAGGCAGGGGAGCUGCCCGCCCGCCACACGCACUGUUGUUGCCAUCUGACAGCUCUUGGCGAAAGGAGCUUUUGUGAUUCAGCCGUGUUUAUCCCAGCCCGCGGCCCGGCCCAGCGUGGGUUUCCAUGGAAAACUUCCAUCCAAAACAAGGAGAGAAGGAGCUACAGCAGGAGUGACUCAGCCACAACUGGAAGCUUCUGCGGGUGAAGCAAGACAAGGAAAGGGGGGGGGGGCUGUUCCCAAAGGCUUGGUCCCGCUCCGGCAGCGGGUCCCAGGGAUGGCCCCUGGCUCUCUCCUGUUGGGGGGAGCUGCAUUGUGUAACCAUCUGUGGAACACGUCACCUUCCUGGAGCACCCCCUCCCGGAGCCUGCUCGUGGGGACAGGGGAGGAAGAGCGUGAGAUGAGUAAGGCUCAAACCCACCCGGAUCCGCACCCAGAGCCCACCGGGUGGGCAGCGGAGGAGGGCCUGAGUCAGCCACGGCGCAGGGGAAGGGAUGGGGGUGUUUGCGGGGAGGCAGCAGCACUGGCAGCAGCUCCUGCCCAUGCUGGUCUCCUCCUGCCCUCCCUGGGAUGCUGGGAGAGGGCUGGGGGUGCUCUGGAGUAAGGAAGGAUCCCCCAUGGGAAGGGGUGACCCCCUGCUCCCUGCCAAAGCACCCAAGGCCAUCCCCAGGCUGGGGUUUGCUCCGUCACCCCCUUGCUCAGGGACACCAAGUGCCACACAGUGUUUUGGGGGGAAACCCAGCUCCUCUGGGCCCUGUGGGGUGGGGUAAGAGGAAACCCCCAUAAGCUGGGGGGGGGGGAGGACACUGGUCACUUGUUUCCAGGCUCAACUCCAUGGGUAGCACAGGCACAGAGCCGGAUCUGCGACAGGCAGGCAGGGGCCAGCACAAAGGUGGAAAAAGAGGCAUUCCCAAGGCAAAUCCCUCUGGUGAUGGACACAGCAGCCACUUCCCUCCUCCCAUGGCAUGAGGGGCCAAGCACCACCUUCCCCUGCUGCUCUCGCGGAGGAGGGUCACCUUUAUUUGUGUUGAUGAAGUUAAACGGGUAGAGGAGGGGGUCCCGCAGCACCCCCCAUCCCGCAGCACCCCUCCUGCCCCAGCUCCCCACAGAGCCGGGCUCUGCUCACUCACCGCUGCCCGGGCUCCGGCCCAACAGCAGGGAGCUGCAGCGGGAAGACGCCGGUGUGUGGCUGCGGGACCGCAGUGCAGGCGCCGGGGCUGCAGUGCCUCCAACACGCCGCUGAGUCGGGAGAGCUCCGUGGUGACCGAACAGCGAACACAGAGCUCUCUGCUGCCAUCCUUCCCCAGCGGGAGCGGGGAGCUGCAGGGACACAGGCCCAAGGUGCAUCCCUCCCCUGCCAAAAAGCGGCCUCUGGUGUCCCCAGGAUGGUAACCAAGGGGUGACAGACACCCCAAACCUUCGCAGCAGCCCAGCACAGAGGUGACACAGUGCUGCUCUGUGAGGUGACAAAGCGAGCAGGCUCUGUCCCAGCCCCAUCCUCCUGCCACCAUAGAACCAGCACCAAACUAGCGGGCAAAACACUCACAUGCACAAAGAACUUGCUUCUGCUGGGAUGGUUUUAUCCCACGGCAGCUCCCAGGCCUGAUCCUGGCUGAGGGAACACUGAAAGUGCUGCUGGUUCCUGUCCCAAAGCCUGCUCCUGCCCCACAGCAUCCUCCAUCCCUCACAGCACCCACUCCACAAGCAGGGGCCAAAUUAACAAGUUUCAUCUGAUUUCUCUCUUUUACCAACUAUCUUGCACUGUUCCCCCAUGGAAAGCCACGGUUAGGAGCCCUGUGAGCACAGCCCAGGCAUGGAACCUCUGGGCUGCAGAGAGCAGCAGUCAAGCAGGAUCCCUGGAAUGAUAACAAUAAAAGAUUUCCAUGUUUCUGGAAAAACAGA